rnacentral:rRNA from 1 species
UUGCCCACUGAUUUAUUUAAAGGGCCGCGGUAAUUUGACCGUGCGAAGGUAGCAUAGUCAGUAGUCUUUUAAUUGAAGGCUUGAAUGAAUGGUUGGACGAGGGAUAAGCUGUCUCCUUUAUGAAUUUUGAAUUUAACUUUUAAGUGAAAAGGCUUAAAUUAUUUAGUGGGACGAUAAGACCCUAUAAAACUUGAUAUAUGCUGAGUUUAAUUUAUGAUAAUAAGUGAAAAGUAGUUAUACUUGGUUUAUAUUUCGUUGGGGAGAUGUAGAUAUAAAUUGUAACUGUCUAUUUAAUUUAAUAAUGUUAAUUAGUGUGUGAUCCCUCUUUGGGGAUUAAAAGAAUAAGUUACUUUAGGGAUAACAGCGUGAUUUUCUUUGAGAGUUCUUAUCGACAAGAGUAGUUGCGACCUCGAUGUUGAAUUAAAAUUUCAGCUAGGUGUAGCCGUUUAGCUGGUGGGUCUGUUCGACCUUUAAAAUUUUACGUGAUCUGAGUUCAGACCGGACGCCA